rnacentral:ncRNA from 52 species
UGGCUCAGUUCAGCAGGAACAG